AUGAUGAACGCUAGCUACAGGCUUAACACAUGCAAGUCGAGGGGCAGCAUGGUCUUAGCUUGCUAAGGCCGAUGGCGACCGGCGCACGGGUGAGUAACACGUAUCCAACCUGCCGUCUACUCUUGGACAGCCUUCUGAAAGGAAGAUUAAUACAAGAUGGCAUCAUGAGUCCGCAUGUUCACAUGAUUAAAGGUAUUCCGGUAGACGAUGGGGAUGCGUUCCAUUACAUAGUAGGCGGGGUAACGGCCCACCUAGUCUUCGAUGGAUAGGGGUUCUGAGAGGAAGGUCCCCCACAUUGGAACUGAGACACGGUCCAAACUCCUACGGGAGGCAGCAGUGAGGAAUAUUGGUCAAUGGGCGAGAGCCUGAACCAGCCAAGUAGCGUGAAGGAUGACUGCCCUAUGGGUUGUAAACUUCUUUUAUAAAGGAAUAAAGUCGGGUAUGCAUACCCGUUUGCAUGUACUUUAUGAAUAAGGAUCGGCUAACUCCGUGCCAGCAGCCGCGGUAAUACGGAGGAUCCGAGCGUUAUCCGGAUUUAUUGGGUUUAAAGGGAGCGUAGAUGGAUGUUUAAGUCAGUUGUGAAAGUUUGCGGCUCAACCGUAAAAUUGCAGUUGAUACUGGAUAUCUUGAGUGCAGUUGAGGCAGGCGGAAUUCGUGGUGUAGCGGUGAAAUGCUUAGAUAUCACGAAGAACUCCGAUUGCGAAGGCAGCCUGCUAAGCUGCAACUGACAUUGAGGCUCGAAAGUGUGGGUAUCAAACAGGAUUAGAUACCCUGGUAGUCCACACGGUAAACGAUGAAUACUCGCUGUUUGCGAUAUACAGCAAGCGGCCAAGCGAAAGCGUUAAGUAUUCCACCUGGGGAGUACGCCGGCAACGGUGAAACUCAAAGGAAUUGACGGGGGCCCGCACAAGCGGAGGAACAUGUGGUUUAAUUAGAUGAUACGCGAGGAACCUUACCCGGGCUUAAAUUGCAGAUGAAUUACGGUGAAAGCCGUAAGCCGCAAGGCAUCUGUGAAGGUGCUGCAUGGUUGUCGUCAGCUCGUGCCGUGAGGUGUCGGCUUAAGUGCCAUAACGAGCGCAACCCUUGUUGUCAGUUACUAACAGGUUCCGCUGAGGACUCUGACAAGACUGCCAUCGUAAGAUGUGAGGAAGGUGGGGAUGACGUCAAAUCAGCACGGCCCUUACGUCCGGGGCUACACACGUGUUACAAUGGGGGGUACAGAGGGCCGGUACCACGCGAGUGGAUGCCAAUCCCCAAAACCUCUCUCAGUUCGGACUGGAGUCUGCAACCCGACUCCACGAAGCUGGAUUCGCUAGUAAUCGCGCAUCAGCCACGGCGCGGUGAAUACGUUCCCGGGCCUUGUACACACCGCCCGUCAAGCCAUGGGAGCCGGGGGUACCUGAAGUGCGUAACCGCGAGGAGCGCCCUAGGGU
rnacentral:rRNA from 1 species